rnacentral:lncRNA from 1 species
KCAGUAGUGAAGUCACAGUCUGACUUGGCCUCCCGCGGUUACCCUGGAAGCUCGUGAUGUCACAGGCUGAGCACUGGAGUUUUAUGCUGGGAGGCUGCACGGGGCGAAGCGAUGGCCCAGGUUACGGUUGGCAUGCUGAUAGAACAACCAGAAGAAAACGUAGAUGAACACAACCUCGAGGAACUCGAUGCUCAGCGUUUGAGUGACAGCGAACUGCGGGACCAGCUCAUCCUGUAUGGGCUCGAACCUGGACCAAUACUGCCUUCCACAAGGACACUUUAUGAAAAUAAGCUUCUGCAGUUGAUAGAUGAAAGCACCCUAGCCUGCUGUGGUAAGCCAGAUGAAAGUGGACACCUCGAUGAGGGCUCAGAAAAUGAAGAUCAUGAAGAACAAGAGACAAAUUCUCAAGUAAUCCUUGAAACAAAAGACUUCAAAGUGACAGCAUCCUGUGCCUCUGGCUAUUGUAAACCUUCACACCUGGAAGUGCCUGAACGCCACAAGAAACUUCUGUCACCUAACGCAGAUCACAAUCUUGUUAAGAUAAUGGCAGAGGAAAGUAUCUGUCCUUGCUACAUAUCUUGUUAUGCCUUUGCACCUAGCAUUCCACGAAUCUUAGAAGAGAACUUUUACUGGAUUUCCAUUGCUACCUGUUAUCUCAUACUUCUGACUCUCCAGCAAUGA